CCUACGGGAGGCAGCAGUGGGGAAUCUUGCGCAAUGGGCGAAAGCCUGACGCAGCAACGCCGCGUGCGGGAAGAAGGCUCUCGGGUUGUAAACCGCUUUCAGCAGGAACGAAAAUGACGGUACUUGCAGAAGAAGGUGCGGCCAACUACGUGCCAGCAGCCGCGGUGACACGUAGGCACCAAGCGUUGUCCGGAUUUAUUGGGCGUAAAGAGCUCGUAGGCGGUUCGGUAAGUCGGGUGUGAAAACUUUGGGCUUAACCCAAAGCCUGCAUCCGAUACUGCUGUGACUAGAGUUCGGUAGGGGAGCGGGGAAUUCCUAGUGUAGCGGUGAAAUGCGCAGAUAUUAGGAGGAACACCGGUGGCGAAGGCGCCGCUCUGGGCCGAUACUGACGCUGAGGAGCGAAAGCGUGGGUAGCAAACAGGAUUAGAUACCCUGGUAGUCCACGCCGUAAACGUUGGGCACUAGGUGUGGGUUUCAACCAACGAAAUCCGCGCCGUCGCUAACGCAUUAAGUGCCCGCCUGGGGAGGUACGGCGCGAAGUAACGUACGAAGAAGUAGACGCGNGAGACGUGCGACGACGACGACGAGGGAGGAGG
rnacentral:rRNA from 1 species